GCGGAUUUAGCUCAGUUGGGAGAGCGUCAGACUGAAGUCCAAUCUGAAGGUCGUGUGUUCGAUCCACACAAGCCGCA
rnacentral:tRNA from 1 species